GCUACAUACUUCCUAAAGUGCAGCUCCCAGAACUGGACACAGUACUCCAGCUGUGGCCUGACCAGUGUUGCGUACAGGGGCAGGAUCACCUCCUAGGAUCUGCUCAUGAUGCAUUUAUAGCACUGGUGAU